rnacentral:rRNA from 1 species
GAUGAACGCUGGCGGCGUGCCUAAUACAUGCAAGUCGAGCGAACAGAUAAGGAGCUUGCUCCUUUGACGUUAGCGGCGGACGGGUGAGUAACACGUGGGUAACCUACCUAUAAGACUGGGAUAACUUCGGGAAACCGGAGCUAAUACCGGAUAAUAUUUCGAACCGCAUGGUUCGAUAGUGAAAGAUGGUUUUGCUAUCACUUAUAGAUGGACCCGCGCCGUAUUAGCUAGUUGGUAAGGUAACGGCUUACCAAGGCGACGAUACGUAGCCGACCUGAGAGGGUGAUCGGCCACACUGGAACCGAGACACGGUCCAGACUCCUACGGGAGGCAGCAGUAGGGAAUCUUCCGCAAUGGGCGAAAGCCUGACGGAGCAACGCCGCGUGAGUGAUGAAGGUCUUCGGAUCGUAAAACUCUGUUAUUAGGGAAGAACAUACGUGUAAGUAACUGUGCACGUCUUGACGGUACCUAAUCAGAAAGCCACGGCUAACUACGUG